UUUUACCGAGUGGCGGACGGGUGAGUAACGCGUGGGUAACCUGCCUCAUACAGGGGAUAACAGUUGGAAACGGCUGCUAAUACCGCAUAAGCGCACAGUACCGCAUGGUACGGUGUGAAAAACUCCGGUGGUAUGAGAUGGACCCGCGUCUGAUUAGGUAGUUGGUGGGGUAACGGCCUACCAAGCCGACGAUCAGUAGCCGACCUGAGAGGGUGACCGGCCACAUUGGGACUGAGACACGGCCCAA
rnacentral:rRNA from 1 species